AUGCAAUUAUACAAGGUUUGCACGAGAGCAAACAACAACAAAACUACAGUGAAAGCAUCGAAACUAACUAAACAUUUAUCCCCAUACAUGUUAUUUGAUUACAUUUGAAUCAAACAUAAUAAACCAUUAUUUACAUUCAUUCUUUCCAUUCAUUUACAUCACAUUGUCCUUUAACCCAAAAUAAAAGGUUUACAUCAUUUCACAUUU
rnacentral:lncRNA from 1 species